rnacentral:rRNA from 1 species
CACGCACGCUGGCGGCAUGCCUAACACAUGCAAGUCGAACGAGACCUUCGGGUCUAGUGGCGCACGGGUGCGUAACGCGUGGGAACCUGCCCUUAGGUUCGGAAUAACUCCCCGAAAGGGGUGCUAAUACCGGAUAAUGUCUUCGGACCAAAGAUUUAUCGCCUUUGGAUGGGCCCGCGUUGGAUUAGCUAGUUGGUAGGGUAAAAGCCUACCAAGGCGACGAUCCAUAGCUGGUCUGAGAGGAUGAUCAGCCACACUGGGACUGAGACACGGCCCAGACUCCUACGGGAGGCAGCAGUGGGGAAUAUUGGACAAUGGGCGAAAGCCUGAUCCAGCAAUGCCGCGUGAGUGAUGAAGGCCUUAGGGUUGUAAAGCUCUUUUACCCGGGAUGAUAAUGACAGUACCGGGAGAAUAAGCGCCGGCUAACUCCGUG